AUCACGAUGGUGUAAACAACACACUUCAUUUUCGUUGAAGAGAUGAAAUUCCUUUUCUCGAGAUA
rnacentral:tRNA from 1 species